UACGGAGGGCGCUAGCGUUGUUCGGAAUUACUGGGCGUAAAGCGCACGUAGGCGGCUUUGUAAGUUAGAGGUGAAAGCCCGGAGCUCAACUCCGGAACUGCCUUUAAGACUGCAUCGCUUGAAUCCAGGAGAGGUGAGUGGAAUUCCGAGUGUAGAGGUGAAAUUCGUAGAUAUUCGGAAGAACACCAGUGGCGAAGGCGGCUCACUGGCCCGGUACUGACGCUGAGGUGCGAAAGCGUGGGGAGCAAACAGG
rnacentral:rRNA from 1 species